rnacentral:rRNA from 1 species
CCUACGGGAGGCAGCAGUGAGGAAUAUUGGUCAAUGGCCGAGAGUCUGAACCAGCCAAGUAGCGUGAAGGAUGACUGCCCUAUGGGUUGUAAACUUCUUUUAUAUGGGAAUAAAAUGUUCCACGUGUGGGAUUUUGUAUGUACCAUAUGAAUAAGGAUCGGCUAACUCCGUGCCAGCAGCCGCGGUAAUACGGAGGAUCCGAGCGUUAUCCGGAUUUAUUGGGUUUAAAGGGAGCGUAGGUGGAUUGUUAAGUCAGUUGUGAAAGUUUGCGGCCCAACCGUAAAAUUGCAGUUGAAACUGGCAGUCUUGAGUACAGUAGAGGUGGGCGGAAUUCGUGGUGUAGCGGUGAAAUGCUUAGAUAUCACGAAGAACUCCGAUUGCGAAGGCAGUUCACUGGACUGCAACUGACACUGAGGCUCGAAAGUGUGGGUAUCAAACAGGAUUAGAUACCCCAGUAGUC